CUUACACUUUUAACUUACAGAGUGAUAUAUGUGUCUGGUGAGAGACGAUACGAAUGCUCUAUACAUUGGCCAUAAUGGGAAGAAGUAAUUUACCUACCUUGCAAAUUAAUAUAACUACUGCCAUGCACAUGCUUCUACUUAUAAGUUCAGUUCAAGUGGACACCGUCGCUGCAGUUGAUGAAAAAUUGCAUCAUAAAUCUUUAAUCUCAAAAUCAGAACAUUUCGAUGUGAGGACGAAACGUAGCGAGAACGCCUCGCUACGUGAGUAUUUAAAUGAAUAUUAUGCAAACUAUUACAACGAGUACUACACCAACUACUACAGCCGUGUUGCGUAUAACAAUGCUCCGUCGGUUCGAAAAUCAAUUAGUUUUGUUGGAAGUUUCAAUGAAAACUUGAAUCGUGAAUCGGCACACGGUACAAAAUAUAGGUACAAUCCGCUUUUCGAAUACAGAUCUACAAAUCGCAAACGUCAUAAGCUUUUUGUACCUGUUUAAAUUAAAAGAAAAAAAAACUUUUUAAUGCUAUCAAAGGCUAUAUUAUACACUCGCUGUUCGAUUGCGAGAGUAGUUCGU